UACGGGGGGGGCAAGCGUUGUUCGGAAUUACUGGGCGUAAAGGGCUCGUAGGUGGCCAACUAAGUCGGACGUGAAAUCCCUCGGCUUAACCGGGGAACUGCGUCCGAUACUGGUUGGCUUGAGUUUGGGAGAGGGAUGCGGAAUUCCAGGUGUAGCGGUGAAAUGCGUAGAUAUCGGAAGGAACACCGGUGGCGAAAGCGGCGCGCUGGACCUCUUCUGACGCUGAGGCGCGAAAGCCAGGGGAGCAAACGGG
rnacentral:rRNA from 1 species